GGACAGGUGCCCGAGCGGCUAAAGGGGAUGGGCUGUAAACCCAUUGGCGCAAGCCUACGCAGGUUCAAAUCCUGCCCUGUCCA
rfam:Planctomycetes bacterium RBG_13_62_9 RBG_13_scaffold_826, whole genome shotgun sequence.